UACGUAGGGUGCGAGCGUUGUCCGGAAUUAUUGGGCGUAAAGAGCUUGUAGGCGGUCUGUCGCGUCUGCUGUGAAAAUCCGGGGCUCAACCCCGGACUUGCAGUGGGUACGGGCAGACUAGAGUGUGGUAGGGGAGACUGGAAUUCCUGGUGUAGCGGUGAAAUGCGAAGAUAUCAGGAGGAACACCGAUGGCGAAGGCAGGUCUCUGGGCCACUACUGACGCUGAGAAGCGAAAGCAUGGGGAGCGAACAGG
rnacentral:rRNA from 1 species